CAAAAGGAAGAGAGCGAUUUCUCCUUCGCUGCACCACCCGAGGGAAGGCCAUGUAAGGACGCAGUGAGAAGGCCUACAAGCCAGGAAGAAAGGUCUGACCAGAAACUGAGGCAACGGACACCUGGAUCUUGGACUUCCCAGCUUUCACAACUGUCCGCUGUCCACUCGUCUCUGGAUCAGGAAGCCGGAGUAGAUCAAAGGGUGACUUUGGGAUUGUACAUAUUUAUGGCCAAGGAAAACAAUGAAGAGAAAUAAAUCUCCAAAUGUCAUUAGAUUAAGGACUUUUUAUGCCUUACAAACUGUCUUCCAAAGAAGCCUUGCAAGAUGCUCCAGCUGAAAAUGCUUUGGCAGCUGCAACCAUUUCUCUCCUCAGGCCACCGCUUUGUUUUCCUCACCCACCAACCAGCCUCCUUUGACAACUUUCUUGAAAGUUGCUCUGCUCCAAAACCAGGCCCCACGU